GGAUAAACGCUGAAAGCAUCUAAGCGUGAAGCCCACCCUGAGAUGAGAUUUCCCAUAACGCGUGUUUUUUAAACACAAGUUAGUAAGACUCCUGGAAGAACACCAGGUUGAUAGGUUAGAGGUGUAAGCAUGGUAACAUGUUCAGCUGACUAAUACUAAUAAGUCGAGGGCUUGACCUUAAU
rnacentral:rRNA from 1 species